rfam:Schistosoma mansoni strain Puerto Rico chromosome 3, complete genome
AUCCAGCUGACGAGUCCCAAAUAGAAAGAAACACGCGUCAAACUGGAU